CCCAAUCAGGAAUAUAUAUGGUUUAGGGGUGGGGAUCUGGAUCGGUUACAAGAUAUAAGCAUAUUCUCAAAUUGAAGGGGGUGGGGAUGAACUCCCAGGGACUCCCCCUAUAUUUCAUGUGAUUUGUUUUAUUGUCCUAUAAUCAUUUCUGAAGACUGCAUGUAUCUACCACUUACAGUUUUCAAGUUAUAUUCAUUUGAAAUUUUUAGAAAAUAAAAUCCCAUAGGGUUCUAUAGUAAAACCCUCCCUUCUUUAUACCCCCCAAAAUAGCCCUUAAUAGACCCCAAUGCACAAACGAAAGAUUGAUGGCUCAUCUAGACAUAUUAGUCUACCAUUUUACGAAAUCCUAAGUCAAUCUGACAAGCGGUUUUGGAGAAACGCUGCGGACAAGUUCAUUUUUUAAAGUGGCGGAAGAGGAAGAGGAAGAGGAAGAGGAAGAAGAAUAAUAAAAAUAAUAAGAACUGACCAAAAACAAUAAGUCUCCAAACUUUGUUUGGGAGACUUAAUAAAGUA
rnacentral:lncRNA from 1 species